GGCUCUGCAGGAGGCCCUGAAGCAGGGGAGGUUGAAGGAAAGGGUGUGUCUUGUUGCAACUGCUGUGUUGUGAUGGUUUUGCCUAAACGUUUUAUGUUUUGAAAGACUAAAACUAAGCCCUGGGGCAAGGCCCUGAAAGUCGCAGGUGCAGCAGUCUCUCCUUCCUGGGCUGGGGAAACAGGCCAGCAGCAGCCUACACUGCCCAACAGCCAUCUCAGCCCCUGUGAGAGGAGACCUGUGAAUGUGCCACACCCAGUUCCGCUAUCACGGGCACAAAACAGCCCAGGGGAAGGAAAGGGAUGGUCUCCCCCACUGAACCCAAAGAGAUUUUACAGCCCAUGGCCGGGAGGACAGGGGCUUCCUCAGAGAGAGUAAGGUCACAAACCCUCCUCCAUCCAGUGCAACCAGAGGGGACCACAGUGAGCCCAGGGAAGAGUGAAACACUGUGUCCCCUAAGAGUCCUCCCCGUCCCCGAAGUCAAGAGUCCAGCCAAGUGGAGAGAGAGUAUGGGGAGAAAGCAAGGGGGACUGUGUCCAUAUCUAGCCCACACAGAAAGCCAAGAGCUAGCCCAGGGGGAAGAGGCAGACGGGAGUCCUGAUCAAGAAACAGAGGAUAUCUACUCCCAUUCCUUUCCUGUAGGGACUAGCGAUGGGAGAUCUUGGGAGAGGGCAUUGAGGAAAGACCAGCUUCACCCCCAGUCAGCCCAGUGAAAAGGGGACUUUGUGCACCAGAACAGUGGGAGAUUUGCUCACUCUCCCAUCCACCAAAAGGAGGGUUCAGUGAGUCCGGAGGAGAGAGGGGAGGUACCCACCCAAAGGAUGAUGCAAUCACCAAUUCCCUCUUCAUCCAGCCCCAAGGACUGAGACAACAGGAUGCUAACAUCCCUACCAGGACAAAGUUAAGCCACUUAACUCCUGAUUGAAUGAUCUCUCAUCCCCAGUAGCAAGCAACUGCAGCUGCUCUGGCUUCUUUGCUUCAGCUGAGAAAGUGGGAUACGAUCCAAGUCUACUGUCCAGGCUUCUCCAUGGAGCAGCUGGCAAGGGAUGCUCUGUGAGCACACCAACAACUUGCACCCUCCAACUCAGCACCCAGUUAAUUGCUUCUGCAACGUGGGUGGAUUUCCGCAACCCAGGGAGCAGAGA